rnacentral:rRNA from 1 species
AUUGAACGCUGGCGGCAGGCCUAACACAUGCAAGUCGAGCGGAGCGGCAGACGGGUGCGUAAUGACUAGGAAUCUGCCUGGUCGUGGGGGAUAACGUCCGGAAACGGGCGCUAAUACCGCAUCCUAUCAGCUGAACCUAGGUCGGAUUAGCUCGUUGGUGGGGUAAAGGCCUACCAAGGCGACGAUCCGUAACUGGUCUGAGAGGAUGAUCAGUCACACUGGAACUGAGACACGGUCCAGACUCCUACGGGAGGCAGAAGUGGGGAAUAUUGGACAAUGGGCGAAAGCCUGAUCCAGCCAUGCCGCGUGUGUGAAGAAGGCCUUCGGAUUGUAAAGCACUUUAAGCUGGGAGGCGUUACCCACAGAAGAAGCACCGGCUAACUGCGUGCCAGCAGCCGCGGUAAUUC